rnacentral:rRNA from 1 species
UCAGGAUGAACGCUAGCUACAGGCUAACACAUGCAAGGUCAGGGGCAGCAUGAAUCAAGCUUGCUUGAUUGAUGGCGACCGGCGCACGGGUGCGUAACACGUAUCCAAUCUACCCAUGGCUCAGGGAUAGCCUUUCGAAAGAAAGAUUAAUACCUGAUGGUUUCAUGAGCCGCAUGGACUUAUGAAUAAAGAUUUAUCGGCGAUGGAUGAGGAUGCGUCCGAUUAGAUAGUAGGCGGGGUAACGGCCACCUAGUCGACGAUCGGUAGGGGCUCUGAGAGGAGGAUCCCCCACAUUGGAACUGAGACACGGUCCAAACUCCUACGGGAGGCAGCAGUGAGGAAUAUUGGUCAAUGGGCGAGAGCCUGAACCAGCCAAGUAGCGUGAGGGAUGACUGCCCUAUGGGUUGUAAACCUCUUUUGUUUGGGAAUAAAGUGAGCCACGUGUGGCUUUUUGUAUGUACCUUACGAAUAAGCAUCGGCUAAUUCCGUGCCAGCCGCCGC